GACGAACGCUGGCGGCGUGCUUAACACAUGCAAGUCGAACGGCAAGGCCCUGCUUUUGUGGGGUUCUCGAGUGGCGAACGGGUGCGUAACACGUGAGUAACCUGCCCUUGACUUUGGGAUAACUUCAGGAAACUGGGGCUAAUACCGGAUAGGAGCUCCUGCUGCAUGGUAGGGGUUGGAAAUUUUCGGCGGUUGGGGAUGGACGCGCGGCUUAUCAGCUUGUUGGUGGGGGAGUGGUUUACCAAGGCUUUGACGGGUAGCCGGCCUGAGAGGGUGACCGGGCACAUUGGGACUGAGAUAGGGCCCAGACGCCUACGGGAGGCAGCAGUGGGGAAUAUUGCACAAUGGGCGGAAGCCUGAUGCAGAAACGCCGCGUGCGGGAUGACGGCCUUUGGGUUGUAAACCGCUUUAGCCUGUGACGAAGCGUGAGUGACGGUAAUGGGUAAAGAAGCACCGGCUAACUACGUG
rnacentral:rRNA from 1 species